rnacentral:rRNA from 1 species
AACGUAGGAGACAAACGUUAUCCGGAGUUACUGGGCGUAAAGGGCGUGUAGGUGGUUUCGUAAGUCUGGCGUGAAAUUUUUCGCUUAACCGGGAAAGGUCGUCGGAUACUGCGGAACUAGAGGACGGUAGAGGCGUGUGGAAUUCCGGGUGUAGUGGUGAAAUGCGUAGAUAUCAGGAGGAACACCUGUGGUGUAGACAGCUUACUGGACCACUUCUGACGCUGAGACACGAAAGCGUGGGUAGCAAACAGG